AGACGCAUUAUCGCGUCUUUACUUCUCCUCUUUCUUCUUCUUCUUCCAACGCGUCUUUACUUCUCCAGUUCUCCUCCUUCUUCUUCUUCCAAGUUCCAACGCACAACAGCAGGAAGAAAAUUGAUUAUCCAAGCUCUUGCUCUCUCCCAAGUCCCAAACCUUGAAACCCUGCAAAUUUUUUCUUUAAAUUGGUUUCAAUGGUUACUCAAUUCUUCAAUUCAUUCUCAUCAAUCACCCAAUCUUUCUCCUCUCUAUGUUUAUGUUAUUCUACGGUGAUCGUACGAAAUUUUCAGCUUUCCAUUGAUGUAGGUUGAGGUACAAAGCAAAAUAGGUGCAAUUGGAAGUUGCAGUUGCAAGUCAAUCUCGAUCAAAAGACUGAGAAGAGAAAGAACAAGAAGGAAAAAAGCAAAUUCCAGAUUUUCAGGAAAUGUUGCUGAAUGAGGCAUAUGAAACAGAUAGGCCUUGGACAUCCAUUCAAAUUAUGGAGUUUGCAAAGAAAAUGGAUAUGUUUGCAAGUGUUAUGGUUGCCUAUAGGAUUUUAUUAACUAUACCGGUGACGGUAGCAUCCGCCGAAAGAAGUUUUUCAAAAUUAAAAUUAUUAAAAUCUUAUUUGCGGACUACCAUGACUCAAGAUAGGCUGAAUGGAUUAGCUAUUUUAACCAUUGAAAGAAAUAUGUUGGUAAAUGUUGACUAUGAGAAGAUAAUUGAUGAUUUUGCUUCAAGAAAUGCAAGAAGGCAUCAUUUCAGAUG